rnacentral:rRNA from 1 species
GGUCGAAAGAGGAAAUUCAUUCGCGUUUCGUUCGUCGAUGCUGAACGUUUGUAUGACGAAUUAUGUUUCGGCAUCGUUUGCGUCUUACGUUCUUUUAAUCGAUAUCGAACGCGUGCACUUUUCCUCUGGUAGGACGUCGUGAUCCGUUGGGUGUCUGUCUAAGAUUCGGGGAGGAGCCCAUAUGAUUUUUACGAUUAUGUGGACCCCUGAUAUUCCGACAGACUCGCUCGACGGUAUAAAUAUGGCGAGGGGCCGCUAUUUUAAUUAGCGUUCGGCCCGUAGCAAGCACGUUUCGCGUUUGACGGCGAUCGGACCUAGUGCCGAUUCUGUCCCGGAAUGACUGUUGGUUACGGUGUUCUCGAACAGACCUCU